UCCAGGGGGGUAAUACGGAGGGGCGGGGGGGGGGGCGCCAAGUUAAUUCGAAUCCAGCCAGGGCUGGGGGAGCCAAGCAGCCGCAGGCUCGCGCAGCUGACUGCACGCUGCUCCUGGGCCAGAGCAGCAGGCUAUGCAGCUGCCCUCUUAUGCACCUGACUUAGAGGAAGCCCCACGAAACUCAGUGAGCCUGAUUUCCGAGCAAGCAAUGCAGAGGGAAGGGCUGCGAGAAGGCACGCAGCUCCGGCGACGGAUUACCCCGCUCCUGAAAAGCCACGCAUCCAUAAGAGCAGGGUGCCAAGGUCUCCUAGCUUUCUUCCACCUUGGCACUCAAGCCUUCCUCCAUGGGGAUUUCCAGGCAGACUCCCAUCCAGGCCCUGGCCAGACCCAGACCUGCUUAACCUCGACAAGGCAACUGCAUCAUGUGCCCUCGGACCAUAUUGGCUCUUGGCUGUUCCAAACCCUUUCCCUUUAAAAAUGCUGUAACCCACCUGGAAUCCGCAUCAUGAGACUCUGAUGAUAGCACGAGAGCUCUUUUCUGAUAACAAACAAAUACAUGUAGGAGAGGAGAGGAAGAUGAUAGUCCUGCACCUCCCAAACGAUAUGAGUUCAUCUGAAAGUUGAAACGCAGGCUUUGUGCAUCCAGUGAUAUGGUGUCAGGCUCUCUCCGUGCAAUUGGGAACCCAUGGUCAUACGCAUGAUCAAGGCUCCAUUUCAACCUCCAGAUAAACCAGCACAGGCCAAGGAUAAGGCCUGCCCCUGCUAUGGGACCCACUUCAUUCCACAUGCAUUCAGUCGUCAAAUCUUGGAAGGUAUGACAAGGACUAACCUAAAGUGGGAAGGACCGGAGGGAAACAUAUGAAGAUGAGAAAGGGCUUAGAACAGGGGCUGAUCAAAGAAAGGCCCACACCAGCGAAUCAACACUUCUCCCUAGAAAAUGCCAACCUCCGUUCUCUCCUGCUACCACCUUGCUUAUAAACGGCUAGAUCUUCAAUGGCUGCCAAACUAUUGUCUUGGAACUUGAGCAGACCGCACUUUAACAUCUAGGGUCUCUCAAGACGGCUGUUCUUCACUGUACAGCAUCUGUGUACCAAGGUUUAGCUAUGCUUUAACACCUGAAUCUUUUAAUGGACAGUACUUGUUGCUUUGGAGAGGUUUAUUAGCAUGAUGGCACCAUUGCACUUUAAUGGCGAAAUGCAUUUUACCAUCUAAGCACUGUUUGCUGCCGUCUGGAGCGUUUAUCGUUCUCAUUCAUUGCUGUUUUUAUAUAUUUGCUUUUCUUGAUUGUUCCUGUGAUAGUGUUGUAUGGAUAUUGUUCUCCUCUUAUUGUUAUACUGAGAUUGACACAAUGUUCCUGAAAUAUCAGCGAAUCAAUUAUUGCAAUGUGAAUAUGAGGUUUCCAUGUAAAUGAGGUGAUUUCCUAAUGAAUUGCUCUGAAGGGCUG